GAUGAAGAACGCAGCGAAAUGCGAUAAGUAAUGUGAAUUGCAGAAUUCAGUGAAUCAUCGAAUCUUUGAACGCACCUUGCGCCCUUUGGCCAUUCCGAAGGGCAUGCCUGUUUGAGUAUCAUGAACACCUCAACUCUCAUGGCUCGCCAUGAUGAGCUUGGAUUUGGGGGUCUUGCUGGCCUGUGGUCGGCUCCUCUCAAAUGGAUCAGCUUGCCAGUGUUUGGUGGCAUCACAGGUGUGAUAACUAUCUGCGCUUGUGGUUUUCCAUCAGAUAACCUUCAGUGAUGGAGGUUCGCUGGAGCUCAUAAACGUCUCCCCUAAGCGGGGACAGCCCUUUGAAUGUUUGAUCUCAAAUCAGGUAGGACUACCCGCUGAACUUAGGCAUAUCAAUAAGCGGAGGA
rnacentral:misc_RNA from 1 species